rnacentral:rRNA from 1 species
UGGGGAAUUUUGGACAAUGGGCGAAAGCCUGAUCCAGCAAUGCCGCGUGUGUGAAGAAGGCCUUCGGGUUGUAAAGCACUUUUGUCCGGAAAGAAAUCCUUGGCUCUAAUACAGUCGGGGGAUGACGGUACCGGAAGAAUAAGCACCGGCUAACUACGUGCCAGCAGCCGCGGUAAUACGUAGGGUGCAAGCGUUAAUCGGAAUUACUGGGCGUAAAGCGUGCGCAGGCGGUUUGCUAAGACCGAUGUGAAAUCCCCGGGCUCAACCUGGGAACUGCAUUGGUGACUGGCAGGCUAGAGUAUGGCAGAGGGGGGUAGAAUUCCACGUGUAGCAGUGAAAUGCGUAGAGAUGUGGAGGAAUACCGAUGGCGAAGGCAGCCCCCUGGGCCAAUACUGACGCUCAUGCACGAAAAGGCGUGGGGGAGCAAACAGGAUUAGAUACCCUGGUAGUCCACGCCCUAAACGAUGUCAACUAGUUGUUGGGGGAUUCAUUUCCUUAGUAACGUAGCUAACGCGUGAAGUUGACCGCCUGGGGAGUACGGUCGCAAGAUUAAAACUCAAAUGAAUUGACGGGGUCAUAGCUGUUU